rnacentral:tRNA from 1 species
AAUUUUGUAGUUUAAAAAAAAUUUUAAAUUGCAAGUUUAAAAAUGACAAAAAAUCCAAAAUUU